rnacentral:rRNA from 1 species
UACGUAGGGUGCAAGCGUUACUCGGAAUUACUGGGCGUAAAGCGUGCGCAGGCGGUCUGUUAAGACCGAUGUGAAAUCCCCGGGCUUAACCUGGGAACUGCAUUGGUGACUGGCAGGCUUUGAGUGUGGCAGAGGGAGGUAGAAUUCCACGUGUAGCAGUGAAAUGCGUAGAGAUGUGGAGGAAUACCGAUGGCGAAGGCAGCCUCCUGGGCCAACACUGACGCUCAUGCACGAAAGCGUGGGGAGCAAACAGG